UUCAUUUGUUUUGCUUUUCUAAAAUCACUAGUCAAAAUUUGCUUUUUUUUUUUUUUAGCCUUUUAGAUUUUGUUUCUUUAAUUCUUUAAUUUAUUUAUUUUUAUUAUUUUUGUUUCAAGUGUUACCAUUUAUUUUUCUUUCCCAAUUCCACGUUUCUUUAAUUUUGUUUUACCUUUCUUGCUGAUUUAUUUCGCACUACUAUAUUCUUCUUUCUCUUUUCUUGUUACUAUAAAUUCUUUUUGGAACUUUAAUCCUUGUUCUGUUUACUGCAAAUGGUGGGGAAGAGAACGAGAAGCAAUCGGAAGUCAUCCAACAACUUAGACGUUGAGCAAUCGGAAGUCCUCCAACAACUUAGACGUCGGUUUGUUGUUGAUUUCUUUUGGGGUAGUCUUCGAAUGCGUUUUUGGGGGGUCGAUUAAGUACGUUGUGGUUGAAUUUUUGUUAAGUUUCCUGAACCGUUACUAAUUUGGUUGUGAUAAUUAUCAAUUUAAGUGUUGGAUA